rnacentral:rRNA from 1 species
CCUACGGGCGACAGCAGUGGGGAAUAUUGCACAAUGGGGGAAACCCUGAUGCAGCGACGCCGCGUGAGUGAAGAAGGAAUUCGGGAUGUAAAGCUCUGUCAGCAGGGACGAAAAUGACGGUACCUGAGUAAGAAGCCCCGGCUAACUACGUGCCAGCAGCCGCGGUAAUACGUAGGGGGCAAGCGUUAUCCGGAUGUACUGGGUGUAAAGGGAGCGUAGACGGCAGUGCAAGUCUGCAGUGAAAGGCGGGGGCUCAACCCCCGGACUGCUCUGGAAACUGUACGGCUGGAGUGCAGGAGAGGCAAGUGGAAUUCCUAGUGUAGCGGUGAAAUGCAUAGAUAUCACGCAGAACUCCGAUUGCGAAGGCAGCAUACCGGCGCCCGACUGACGCUGAGGCACGAAAGCGUGGGGAGCGAACAGGAUUAGAUACCCUAGUAGUC